rnacentral:rRNA from 1 species
GACGAACGCUGGCGGCGUGCUUAACACAUGCAAGUCGAACGGAAAGGCCCUGCUUUUGUGGGGUGCUCGAGUGGCGAACGGGUGAGUAACACGUGAGUAACCUGCCCUUGACUUUGGGAUAACUUCAGGAAACUGGGGCUAAUACCGGAUAGGAGCUCCUGCUGCAUGGUGGGGGUGGGAAAGUUUCGGCGGUUGGGGAUGGACUCGCGGCUUAUCAGCUUGUUGGUGGGGUAGUGGCUUACCAAGGCUUUGACGGGUAGCCGGCCUGAGAGGGUGACCGGCCACAUUGGGACUGAGAUACGGACCAGACUCCUACGGGAGGCAGCAGUGGGGAAUAUUGCACAAUGGGCGGAAGCCUGAUGCAGCAACGCCGCGUGCGGGAUGACGGCCUUCGGGUUGUAAACCGCUUUCGCCUGUGACGAAGCGUGAGUGACGGUAAUGGGUAAAGAAGCACCGGCUAACUACGUG